CCUCCAUAUGAUGGCCCCACAAAUAACAAACCCAUAUAAGUGAUAGAAGGAAAACCUGAGAAUAAAACCCUCCCAGUAGAAUGGAGAAUUUUAUGAACUCAAAUGAGGGUACAACUUACUGGUAAGGAGGAGAACAAAGCUGAUUUUGGUGCCACAAGGGAUCGGAAAAUACCUAUGCAGAAAACUCAGUCUUUCAAAGCAGAGAAGAAAAAGGGCCAGAGUUGGUUACAAAAACAGCUUUCAAGUAAAACAGGUCGUGAUUGCGACUACAUAGAUAUGGUGCAUGGUGCAGCAGUAGCUGCUGCUGCAUUCUCAAUUAAUUUGCAAUAGACCUCUGAGCAGAAGAGUGAGACCCCGGAGGCCUCAUUGGCCAAGGUCAAAAGCAAGGUAGACAGCUCAAAAUCUUCAAAGUCCCUUCUCAGUAGUAUAUCCAAGCGAUUAUCAGGUUCUUUUAGAUCUAAAGAUGACCAAGUUGUAGAAGAAAAGAAACCGGAAAAGGCCAUUACCCCUGCAAGGAAACCUGACCCUCAAAGAGAGACUACAACAGGAUCAAACAAUGGGGAGACAAGUGCAGAUGUAUGGGAGAAAACUGUGAUCGACAAGAUCAAAUAAUGGGCAGAUAAACAGGAGAGAACUGAGCCCGACAAGAUCAACCAAAGGUAUGAGAAGUCUAAAGAGUUGAUAGAUUCCUGGGAAGACAAGAAGAAGAUAAAAGCCAAACGCGAGCUAAUGAAGCAACAGAGUGAACUUGAAAGGGGAAGGAAGAAAUCUUUGGAGAAGUAUGUAAAUCUAGUUGCAGACGGAGCGAUAGCCAAGGCUGAGGAAAGCCGAAAAAAAUUGCAGAGUGAACUUGAACGGGGAAGUAAGAAAUCUUCGGAGAAAUUUCAAAAAAAGAUGAAGUAUGUAAAUAUAGUUGCAGACAGAGCGAGAGCCAAGGCUAAGGAAUGCCGCCCAAAAAAAGAAAAGUUACAAGUAAAAGGGAAGGCAAGUACAAUUCCAAGUGCGGAGUUACUUGAAGAGUUAAUUGACAAAUAUCCAGU